rnacentral:lncRNA from 1 species
UGACCUCAUUGGAAUUUUCCUAGGGAGCAAGGAUUGUUCAUCUCAUUGGUCAGGAUUUAAGAGGAUAGUUGGCAGAAUAGCAAUGUCUUAAAAUCAAAUUUCAUGAGGCUUUUUUCCCCACUCUUGGCAUCUGUGUAGGAAGCCAACCACACUUUGUACUUUGUUCCUACCUUUAUUCAAGAUGAAGGCUGGGGUGAAUAAAUUCUGUACUAUAAAUACAUUAUCAUUAUUUUGGCACUGUAAGAAAUGUUAAAGAUGAUUUCUCUGAGAGAAAAGGAAAUUAAAUCAGAUGGAAGUCCAGAUCUUCAGAAAAGAAUGGAAAGUAUCAGAAAGGAUAUUGAAAGCUACAAGAACAACAUGGUAAUGUUGGCUAAUUCACACAGUUCUGUGCAAAAAUUAUGUAAGAAGUCUGUUAGAGAGAGGAUUUAGGGAUCUUUUCUUUGCUGAUAAAUGGGAACAGAUUUAACACGAGAGUAUAUGAGCCAUCUCUCUGCCUCCCCCUUUUACUAUUAAACAUUGGAGUGAUGUCACGGCAAUCAUCUUGCAACCACAGUAUCAUAAGCAUGAAUAAGAAAAGACAACAUACUUAGGAUAAUGCAACAGAAAGAUGGCUGGGCCUAAUCUUCUUGAUUACAUUAAUGAUCUGCAAAAGCGAUGCUAGAAACUUCUUAUGUGAGAAAAAUAAACCUCA